GACGAACGCUGGCGGCGUGCUUAACACAUGCAAGUCGAACGGAAAGGCCCUGCUUUUGUGGGGUGCUCGAGUGGCGAACGGGUGAGUAACACGUGAGUAACCUGCCCUUGACUUUGGGAUAACUUCAGGAAACUGGGGCUAAUACCGGAUAGGAGCUCCUGCUGCAUGGUGGGGGUUGGAAAGUUUCGGCGGUUGGGGAUGGACGCGCGGCUUAUCAGCUUGUUGGUGGGGUAGUGGCUUACCAAGGCUUUGACGGGUAGCCGGCCUGAGAGGGUGACCGGCCACAUUGGGACUGAGAUACGGCCCAGACUCCUACGGGAGGCAGCAGUGGGGAAUAUUGCACAAUGGGCGGAAGCCUGAUGCAGAAACGCCGCGUGCGGGAUGACGGCCUUCGGGUUGUAAACCGCUUUCGCCUGUGACGAAGCGUGAGUGACGGUAAUGGGUAAAGAAGCACCGGCUAACUACGUG
rnacentral:rRNA from 1 species